ACCCUGUUGCACGUAGAGAAGUUAGGCAUGAUGAUCUUUCCUUUGAAUGCAUAUUUGGGGAAUUCAUAUUUGGUGAGUGGCCAUUUGAAGAGAAAACAGCAGUACGAUGCAUGCCUGUAAUAGUGUUUUCCCCUGAAUUGGUGUAAAAGACAUGGUUAAAUUACACACUUAAGAAACAUGACUUAAACAAUAAGACUGAUUUAAAACCAUUGCUACCUAGGUUUGAAAUAUUAGACAGAGGUGUUACAUCCCGGUUGAGCUGACUGAAAAUAUUACCCACAGGAAUGCACUGGGUAUUUGGCAGCGUAGGUUGAAAUGUUUGGGAAUAAGCAGGGGUCCUGGUAGGAGUAUGAUAUGCUGAAUUUGGUGUAGAUGUGAGGUUGCCUAAAUAAAUAGUCAUCCAAAACACAUAAGCUACAAUCAAAAGUACUGGAUACCAAAACUCAUAUCAUCAUACAUUAGCAAUAUAUUGAUUUUAUUCAAUCAAAGGUACAGAUAAGUCAUUAAGGUGGUAUAUGCAAAAAAAGAAACAGCUAUUAAGAUAUGGUAUAUGCAAAAACAAAAACAGGAACAAAAGCAGGUUAACAUUAGCUGUGAGACAAAGAACCUGGAAAAAUGUUAACAUUAGAAGGUUGAACAUUCUCUUGCUCUGGGUUAGGAGUGGGUGUAUUCCUUCUUCUUCUUCCUGUAGUGCUUC
rnacentral:lncRNA from 1 species